AUUGAGAGUUUGAUCCUGGCUCAGGAUGAACGCUGGCGGCGUGGAUAAGGCAUGCAAGUCGUACGCCCCGCUUUCAAUUUGUAGCAAUACAAAAGGUUGGCGGGGAGUGGCAAACGGGGUAGUAACACGUAGGUACCAACCUCCAAGAUGAGAAUAAUCCCGCGAAAGCGGGACUAAUACUCAAUGGUUCCCGUAAGGGUAAAGGUUCGCAAGAAUCGCUUGGAGACGGGCCUGCGGGCUAUCAGCUUGUUGGCAGGGUAACGGCCUACCAAGGCAACGACGGCUAGGGGAGAUGAGAGUCUGUUCCCCACCACUGGAACUGCGACACGGUCCAGACACCUACGGGUGGCUGCAGUCGAGAAUCUUCGACAAUGCGCGAAAGCGUGAUCGAGCGACGCCGCGUGCAGGAAGAAGUCCUUCGGGAUGUAAACUGCUUUUAUAGAGGAGAAAAUCCCGCUUUUAGCGGGACUGAUGUUACUCUAUGAAUAAGGGGUUGCUAAACUCGUGCCAGCAGCCGCGGUAAUACGAGUGCCCCAAGCGUUAUCCGGAUUUAUUGGGCGUAAAGGGUCCGUAGGGGGUUUUGUUAGCCUCGCUUUAAAGGUCUGCGCUUAACGCAGAAAAUGGGCGAGGAACGGCAAGAGUGGAGGAUGCGAGAGGCCGACGGAACUCUGGGUGUAGGGGUGAAAUCCGUUGAUAUCCAGGGGAACACCAAAGGCGAAGGCAGUCGGCUGGCGCAUUCCUGACCCUGAAGGACGAAAGCGUGGGCAUAAAAAAGGAUUAGAUACCCUUGUAUUCCACGCCCUAAACGAUGCUCUCUAGUCUUUCGAAGUGUCGACCCUUUGAGAGGCGAAGCUAACGCGUUAAGAGAGCCGCCUGGGAAGUACGGCCGCAAGGCUAAAACUCAAAGGAAUAGACGGGGACUUGCACAAGCGGUGGAGCGUGUGGUUUAAUUCGACGCUAAGCGAAAAACCUCACCAGGGCUUGAAAUUCCGGCGGAAAUCCCGCAGAAACGCGGGACUUCUCACAAGGACCGCCGGUACAGGUGCUGCAUGGCUGUCGUCAGUUCGUGGCGUGAGUUGUUCCCUUAAGUGGGCUAACGAACGCAACCCUUGUUGUCUGUUAUAUGUGUCAGACAAGACUGCCCCGCUACAGCGGGGAGGAAGGCGAGGAUGACGCCAAGUCAGCAUGGCCCUCUGAUAUCCUGGGCUACACACGUGGAACAAUCGCUGCUACAACGGGUUGCGACGGGGAAAAACCCUGAGCCAAUCCUUAUAAAAGCAGCGCCAGUUCGGAUUGAGGUCUGAAACUCGACCUCAUGAAGUAGGAAUCGCUAGUAAUCGCGGGUCAGCUAUACCGCGGUGAAUACGUUCUCAAGUCUUGUACUCACAAAUAAUUGCGCCCGGCAGCGCAUACGCCCGUCAAGCCAAGGAAGUUGGUAAUACCCGAAAUCUCACUUCGGUGGGCCUAAGGUAAGAUCAAUGACAGGGGCUAAGUCGUAACAAGGCACGGGUAGCGGAAGCUGCUCGUGGA
rnacentral:rRNA from 1 species